CUACUACUACUACUACUACUUAUGUUUGUGUUCUUUUGGCACAAUCUAAAACCAAAAACAAAAGAACUUGUAAGAUUUGAAUACUACCAAGGUUUUCUUAACUGUUUGUAUUUGGAAAAAAAUACAAACUUUGUUUUGUAGCUUAGACACAAAACCAAAACAUUAACAAAAAAAUGAUGUCUGGAGAUGUGUUUUCAUUUCCUUCUUCUGUUAAAGCAGUACUUCCUCAUCAUCAUCAAGAACUUCAAACAGCAAACCCUAACCCUAAACCUAAUACUUCUUCCAAAAAAAGAAGAAAUCUUCCAGGAACACCAGAUCCAGAUGCUGAA
rnacentral:misc_RNA from 1 species